UUUUCAUUUGAAAUUAGACUUGUUUUAAAACCUUUUUUAUUUUUGCUUUUUAAAAAAACAUUUUAACUUUUAUUCCCUUUUUUAAAGAACCCUAAAUGCUUUGGAGUAUGUCUAACUCCUUCACUUUCCUCUCUGCUUUCCAGCCAAACAACUAGUACCCAAGCCUCAACAGUCCCAAAAUCCGACGACGAACGGAGAGCCCUCCCCACGGCAUUAGCACGACGUUGCAGGUAUGGUGAACGUGGGGCGUGGGUCGUGCUACACGUGAGAUGGCCGGACGUGCGAGGUGCGUCGACGUGCGUGGUGGAGGGGAGCAGCAGCUAUUCUCUUUUUUGCUGAAAAGUUAGUUUAGUUUCGGGCUGUUUGGGCUCUGGGGUUAGGUUUAUUUUAGGCUUAUAAUUGGGUUUGUUGUUUUUGUAAUUUUGGACUCUUUUUGGAUUUUUUUGGGUUUUAUUUAUUGGGCUGGAAAUAAGUAGCCCGGGCUAAAGUUGGGUCUUACAUGUAUUAUAAUCCACUUUAUCAAGAAAUCCAUUUUCCCAUGACAA